rnacentral:rRNA from 1 species
CAGUAGCCGCGGUAAUACGAAGGGGGCUAGCGUUGCUCGGAAUGACUGGGCGUAAAGGGCGCGUAGGCGGAUCACGCAGUCAGAUGUGAAAUUCCUGGGCUUAACCUGGGGGCUGCAUUUGAGACGCGUGGUCUAGAGUGUGAAAGAGGGUCGUGGAAUUCCCAGUGUAGAGGUGAAAUUCGUAGAUAUUGGGAAGAACACCGGUGGCGAAGGCGGCGACCUGGUUCAUGACUGACGCUGAGGCGCGAAAGCGUGGGGAGCAAACAGGAUUAGAUACCCCGGUAGUCCCUGUCUCUUAUAC